CUGCCCUAUGCAGGGGGAUAAGCGGAAGAAAUUCCGUCUAAUACCGCAUAACACCUUUAGGAGACAUCUUCUUGGGGUCAAAGGAGGCGACUCCGGCAUAGGAUGGCCAUGCGUCGCACUAGCUAGUCGGCGGGGUAACGGCCCACCGAGGCGACGAUGCGUAGGGGUUCUGAGAGGAAGGUCCCCCACACUGGUACUGAGACACGGACCAGACUCCUACGGGAGGCAGCAGUGAGGAAUAUUGGUCAAUGGGCGCAAGCCUGAACCAGCCAAGUCGCGUGAGGGAUGACGGUCCUAUGGAUUGUAAACCUCUUUUGUCGGGGAGCAAAGCGCGGUACGAGUACCGUGAAGGAGAGUACCCGAAGAAAAAGCAUCGGCUAACUCCGUGCCAGCAGCCGCGGUAAUACGGAGGAUGCGAGCGUUAUCCGGAUUUAUUGGGUUUAAAGGGUGCGUAGGCGGAUUAGUAAGUCAGCGGUAAAAAUGCGGUGCUCAACGCCGUAUCGCCGUUGAAACUGCGGGUCUUGAGUGAGCGAGAAGUAUGCGGAAUGCGUGGUGUAGCGGUGAAAUGCAUAGAUAUCACGCAGAACUCCGAUUGCGAAGGCAGCAUACCGGCGCUCAACUGACGCUGAGGCACGAAAGCGUGGGGAUCGAACAGGAUUAGAUACCCUGGUAGUCCACGCAGUAAACGAUGA
rnacentral:rRNA from 1 species